rnacentral:lncRNA from 1 species
CUUAAUAUAAUUUUUAUUGAGGGUUUACUAGUCUCUAGCACAUUCUUUAAUUGUAACAUAUAUUUAACAUAUCUAAAAUAAGCUAUCAUGCAUCAUAGCUAUCUCAUAGCAUGUAUAAAUCAUAAGCAACUAAUUAACAUGCUUCAACAUAUCUUCAUAUGGAAAAUUUCAUAUCACGACAUUUUAUUACAUAUCAUAUCAUAUAUGAAUCAUAUAUUUCAGCAUUUCAUUAAGCAUAU